AAACGACUCUCGGCAACGGAUAUCUCGGCUCUCGCAUCGAUGAAGAACGUAGCGAAAUGCGAUACUUGGUGUGAAUUGCAGAAUCCCGUGAACCAUCGAGUUUUUGAACGCAAGUUGCGCCCGAAGCCUUCUGGCUGAGGGCACGUCUGCCUGGGCGUCACGCA
rnacentral:rRNA from 2 species